rnacentral:rRNA from 1 species
AGAAUGAACGCUGGCGGCAUGCCUAACACAUGCAAGUCGAACGAAGCCUUCGGGCUUAGUGGCGCACGGGUGCGUAACGCGUGGGAAUCUACCCUUCGGUUCGGAAUAACAGCGAGAAAUUGCUGCUAAUACCGGAUGAUGACGUAAGUCCAAAGAUUUAUCGCCGAGGGAUGAGCCCGCGUAGGAUUAGCUAGUUGGUGUGGUAAAGGCGCACCAAGGCGACGAUCCUUAGCUGGUCUGAGAGGAUGAUCAGCCACACUGGGACUGAGACACGGCCCAGACUCCUACGGGAGGCAGCAGUGGGGAAUAUUGGACAAUGGGCGAAAGCCUGAUCCAGCAAUGCCGCGUGAGUGAUGAAGGCCUUAGGGUUGUAAAGCUCUUUACCCGGGAUGAUAAUGACAGUACCGGGAGAAUAAGCUCCGGCUAACUCCGUGCCAGCAGCCGC